rnacentral:tRNA from 1 species
AGAGGAUAGCUCAGAGGUAGAGCUGGUGCUUAGCAUGCAGGAAGUCCUGGGUUCAAUUCCCAGCACCUCUG